rnacentral:lncRNA from 1 species
ACCAUCAGCACCCCAGGGUGCCUGCUGGGGGGGUCCGGAGUGCCGGGGAGGGGGGGGGUCCCACCUGCAGUGGUCUUGGUGCCGUGGGGCACCAGCUCCAGCGCCUGGAAGAGGUAGCAGCGCAGCUGGAAGUAGCUGGGCCCUGUGGGAGAGGCAGGGGGUGGCAGGGGGUCCUGUAACCCCCCCCGGGACCCUCCCCUCCUGGCACCCUGGGGCUCACGCUGGAAGGUGCAGAGGAUGAGGGGCAUGGGCUGCUGCAGGCGCCCCCGGCCCCCGGCCCCUGAUGCUGGCUGCUCGCCCUCCGGCACCGCCGCCUCCGUGCCCUGCGGGGUUGGGAUGUGGGGCAGGGGGUCAGCCUGCCCCUGCUGCCCCCAUGUCCCCCUGUCCCUGCAUCCCAACGUCCCUGGGUGCUGCUCUCUCCAUAUCCCGGUAUCUCCACGUUCCCUUCUCCCUGCACCCCCCAUCCAUGAAUUCCUCUCUCCCUCCAUCCCGUCUUCCCAUUGUCCAUCCCUCUGUCCCCCCUCCCUCCAUCCGUUUGUCCCUACACCCCUGUCCCUCUGUCCCUACACCCCUGUCCCUCCAUUUCUCCGUCCCUGCAUCCCUCUGUUCCUCCCUUGUUCCCUCCCUUUUACCUGUCCCCCCAUCCCUGUGUCCAUCCCUCUGUAUCUCCAUCCAUCCAUCACCCCAUCCCUUUCCCCUUUUUUCUCUCCCUCCACCCCCCCCCCCCCUCACAGCCCCCUCCCCAGCACCCCGUCCCCAUUGCCCCCUCCCCAGCUCCCCCUUCCCGUGCCGGCGGCCGGGCACUGCGGUACCGGGGAGCCCUCGAGGAGGAAGAGGGGGGCCACGGACGGGGGCUGCAAUGGCACCAUGCGCCGGUGCCAGCAGCGCCGCCGGCACAGGUCCCCAGCGCGGGGCCGCAGGUGGAAGCGGCAGCCCCACAGGGUCGCGUACUCCCACGCCUCGUCCGCUGCCGGCGCUUCGGGGCUGUGCUGUGGGGACACGAGGCAUGCAGGGGACGGUGGCACGGGGAGCGGGUGGGGAUGCUCAAGGCACUGGUGGCCAAAGGCUCGUCCCCGCCACCUCGUCCCUGCCACCUCCUUGCUGUCAUCCCCAUCCUGUCACCCCCAUCCCUGCCACCCCCAUCCCCACCACCCCAACCUCAGCACCCCCAACCUUGCAACCCCAUUCCUGGCACCCUCUUACCUGCCACCCUGUCCCGGCCACCCCAUCCUUGUCACCCCCAUCUCAUCACCCCCAUCCUUGCCACCUUGUCCCUGCCACCCCGUCCUUGUCACCCCCAUCUCAUCACCCCCCUCCUUGCCACCUUGUCCCUGCCACCCCCAUCCCUGCCACCCCAUCCCUGCUACCCCACCCCUACUAUCUCCACCCUGUGACCCCAUCCCUGCCACCCCCAUCCCUGUCACCCCGUCCCCGCCGCCCCAACCAGCUGGAGGAAGGUGGCCACGUCCUGCUCCUGUCCCUGGGUGCCAGGCUCCCUGCGGCGGGUGCGCAGCCAGCGCCGGCGCCGGUGCGUGUGGUACAUCUUCUCAGCAGGGUGCCACGCCAGCGGGGGGCUGCCGGGUGCCGUGCUCGCC